rnacentral:rRNA from 1 species
GGAAUAUUGGACAAUGGGCGCAAGCCUGAUCCAGCAAUGCCGCGUGAGUGAUGAAGGCCUUAGGGUUGUAAAGCUCUUUCGCCCGCGACGAUGAUGACGGUAGCGGGCGAAGAAGCCCCGGCUAACUCCGUGCCAGCAGCCGCGGUAAUACGGAGGGGGCUAGCGUUGUUCGGAAUUACUGGGCGUAAAGGGCGCGCAGGCGGCUGCUCAAGUCAGGCGUGAAAGGCCUGGGCUCAACCCGGGAAUUGCGCUUGAGACUGGGCUGGCUUGAGUGCGGGAGAGGAUGGUGGAAUUCCCAGUGUAGAGGUGAAAUUCGUAGAUAUUCGGAGGAACACCAGUGGCGAAGGCGGCUCACUGGUCCAUAACUGACGCUGAGGUGCGAAAGCGUGGGGAGCAAA